CUUUGGGGACCAGCUCUCGGGAAGAAAGGACUGCAGGAUGGAGGAGGGUUUUGACUUGCCCUGGUGUGUGUGUGUAAACUGGGAUCCAGAGUUUGACAGCAGAGGAGAGACUUCUGGUGUGAAGAGCAGAGCGAUUCUGGUCCCCUAGGGAGUACACUUGAUAAGCAAGAGACCAGGUACAGAUUCUUUCAGAUCUUACAGUUCUCAAAGAGCAAGCAAAUGUCCUCUUUCCAAGCCUCACAUUUAGACUGACUGCUGGCAGAUAGAAAACUUCUUGAAGGAGGCCUCGGCUUUGAAGGUUUGUUGUAAGACCGUAACACCUAACUCAGGGGUGGAAGUGGGUGCUCUGCCUUAGCCUUCCCAUGGUUACACCAAGAGGAUCUGGACGACCACUGCUCCUGAGAGGCCAAUGUUUCUACUUCGUGGCUUUAACCAGUGUGCUCUGGCUGCCAUCUGCACAGACCCGAGAGUCUUUUCUUCCACAGAGGUUUCACCUUCAACUGCCUACAGCAUUUGGUCUCUUCUGGAGGAAUUUAAGAGGGCCGUACCAGCAGCACAUCAAGGAUCACAGCCUAGGGGUCUAAAAGGAGCUACAGCUGCCGGCCUACUCCACAGCCACAGCAGCGCAGGAUCCAAGCCGAGUCUGCGACGUACACCACAUCUCACGGCAACUAAAGAUCCUUAAUCCACAUAGCGAGGCCAGGGAUCGAACUCUCGACCUCAUGGUUCCUAGUCAGAUUCGUUUCCACUUCACCACAAUGGGAACUCCAAGGAUCCUAAACUUCGUGAAGGCAGAAUGCUCGCUUAACUCAUUUCUGUAUUCGUCCCACAAAUUUUAUUGAGCUUUGUAAGUGCACAAAAAGGAGUUGUUAACAAAUAAAUGAUGAGCAGAGUGAAUUCACCUAGACCUAAGGAGAUGGGGCUUCCAUGAGGGCAGGGAUGAGGUGCUCUAUCUCCAUUAAUCUGAGGUGAGGAUGUGGGCAGGGAAUCCCCAUCAGCUGCAGAGAUGGCUGCAAAGUGGUGAGAAUGGGCUGACAGACCAAACGUUGCAAGUUCUGUAGAGGACUGUCACCAACCUUUGGAGAUUCCAGCUUUAGAUAAUUUUUUCUCAUGAUAUUCAUCAAAUAUUCAUUAUUGGGAGUAGAAAAUUUCCCAGUCUCUGGGGCCAUCUUUUUAUGUACUAAGAGCCCUGUUUCUGAAUGGAACUCUCUCACCUCUGGCCCCACCCUAUUAUUAAGGGUUGGCUAGAAUCCAUGUGUCCUUUGGACUAGGAAGCUGCAUAACCGAUGGUAAAUGCCUCCCCCUUUUGUCACCCCAGCAGUUCCAGGCUGAGUCAUUUUCUAAAUAAGCCACUUGUGGUUUUUGGUCUGACAUCACAUGUGGAAGACUGAGUAAUUUUUUAAGAACCAGAAUUAUAGUCGAUCAGAAUAAGAUACAUUGUGUACAUUACUCAUGGUUCUAGGACAAGGGGUCAACGCUGGUAACAAGUACCCUAAGCUUCUCCUACCCCUCCUUUCCCUGGGGCUGAGGGACAGGGAGAAGGCCAAGGAAGGAGGUGGGGAUGGAUAUGAAGAAUUUUUGUGUGCAUCUCUAAUUUUGUUAAUACAUUAUGUACAGUAAAAUUAUAUCUUGUUGCCACUUCCAGAUUAAAUAAAAGUAAUAUAGCAAAGUAGGUAAGGCCUGGGGGCUCUGCUGCUUGGGUUCAAAUCCCAGCUUCACCACAUACCAGUUGGGCAAGUUACUGAUUCUUGAUUCGCCUGCAUUUCCUCAUUUAUAAAAUAAUAGUAUCUAUGAUGUAGGGUUGUUGUCAGGAAUAAAUGAAUUGAUAUAUGUUGAGUGCUUAGAAUUGUCUGGAACUUAGUAAGCACUAUGGAAAUAUGACUAAAUAUUUCUGUGAGUCCACCACAACGUUUAUGCUCAUAUUAAAUGUUCAAUAAAUGGUUCUUGAU
rnacentral:lncRNA from 1 species